rnacentral:rRNA from 1 species
AGAAUCAACGCUGGCGGCGUGCCUAACACAUGCAAGUCGAUCGAGAAAGUGGAGCAAUCCAUGAGUAAAGAGGCGCACGGGUGAGUAACACGUGACUAACCUACCUUCGAGUGGGGAAUAACCUGGGGAAACCCGGGCUAAUACCGCAUAAUACCUACGGGUCAAAGGAGCAAUUCGCUUGAAGAGGGGGUCGCGGCAGAUUAGUUAGUUGGCGGGGUAAUGGCCCACCAAGACGAUGAUCUGUAUCCGGCCUGAGAGGGCGCACGGACACACUGGAACUGAAACACGGUCCAGACUCCUACGGGAGGCAGCAGUGGGGAAUUUUGCGCAAUGGGGGAAACCCUGACGCAGCGACGCCGCGUGAGGGAUGAAGGCCUUCGGGUUGUAAACCUCUUUCAGCAGGGACGAAGCGAAAGUGACGGUACCUGCAGAAGAAGCACCGGCCAACUACGUGCCAGCAGCCGC